ACUUUGAUGAACUGAAAAUGCCUUCAAGAAGGAACUGGCACCUGCCGGGGCUGUGCUGAGAUCGGUUCAGAGCUGUGCAGCCGGACAGUUGUAUCUGUGAGCCAGAGGCAGACAGUGGCUCAGCCUCCUGAGAUGAAGACACUGGGACUCGGAGAGGUCAAGGAACUCCACUGAUGUGGCACAACAGAUGCUCAUCAACCUCUGUACCUUCUCCAAGAUGUCCUUUACGUCCCCAUCCCUGGUGACAGCAGCCUGGGAAGCACAAAGCUCUCAUUAAGGAUUGUCUCAAACCACACUCUCUGGAGGAGGGCGGCCAAGCAGCGGCCCCACAUCCUGCACCAAGACCCUUCCUCAGCUCCUCUGGGGGUUCACUCAGGCUGAGGAUUAAACCUUGAUCCCUUUUGCGUGGAGGAGAACAGUCCUCUUCCCA